UGUAAAAGCCUCCGGAGAAAGUCUUGACCCAAUUCUCCAGAGUUCAUGUCUGAAAACAGCUCAAGAAACUCAAGCAAGUCCAGUUACCUAUGUUCAAGUACAACAGUUCAUUCAUUCAGGGCAGCACCUGAAGGUAUUUGUAGUUUACAUAGUUUACAGAAGUCCCUGGAAUGCAUCAUCUGCAAACUCUUGCCAAGGCUACGUUCAAACCUCCUGAGCUACUCAACACGUGGUCACGACAAAAGUGAGUUUGAUCUGGAGCAAAACAAAAUAACUUUAGCAGCUUGUGUAAGAGUUGAAGUGGGACUGAUGCUGUGGGCAGAGGGAGGAACUGAACUACUAAUGACUGACUACCUGUGAGAGAGAGGUUAGCAUCCGAUGUGUGUUUUCUACCAAAUGAAGAGGAUCAUCCAGAGAGUUUUCUCCUCCUAUGAUCCGGCGCUGGCGAGUGUGUACGAGCCGCAGACCGCAAAUUGAGUUGACAGGAUCUGACAGAGACACAAGGGGAACCAUUGGCUGGGCUGUGAUUCACCAUAGUCACAGAUGACCCCAGCGUCCUCACUGUGGCGACAGUUGUGAGUGCCAGGCGCCUGUUUGAUGCAG